GGCUCUGCUCCUGAUCCAUGACGGCAGGCCCAAAGGUGAGUUGGCCAGCUGCCGUGAACUAAAUUGGGGGGCUGAGACAAAAGACCAUGAAAUGACUCAGUUGCUGAAUGCCGAUGACAAAAAUAACCAGGAUCACUACCCAAUUUGGGGAAGGAAUUAAAGCAAAACAUGCUUGCAGACCUGCACUUUAUUUAGCUCAUAGAUAUAUCCUUAACAGUGGGUAGUUGGGCUGAAGAAUAAAAAGAUGGAUUAUCCUACAUGAAACCAUCGAACUGGGCUUCUUAUCUCAACUUUCUUUUGAUGUUCUGCUGAAGUUUGGUUUUUAUUACUCCUAUGCUACACACUGAGAAGUUGAGAUUGAUGGAAAGCCACUUGUCUGAGAACCUGCCCAGGUGUUUGAAUGGUCUAUGAAGGAGGAGGUAAAGAGGAGAAAUGGGUUUGGGGUGGUGGUUGUUGGGGUGUAUUGCUUCUUAUUCAGCCCAUGUUUCUAUCAUGAAUUUCUGGGUGAAACUGCCUGAAAAGCAGAAACCAAUCCGCUAAACAAAACACAAAUAUCCUUCGACUAUUCGCCCUCUUCUGAAUAUUGCAAAACAGUUCUCCAACCAAACAGUAUUAGGGGGAAAGUGGGCAUAAAGAUUUGCACUUGAGCAAAAUGACAUGGAAAAAUGAAUUAGAUUAGGGGGAAAUGCUUGCAAAUUGUGUAUAAAAAGGGAAAGAAUCAUAAAAAUGUACAUAUUGGGAGAAAUUUGCACUAUAUUCUGAUGAAUUUUCAUGAGGAUUUAAAAAAAGAAGAACUUUGACAUGCUGCAGAACUGAAUGGAGAACAAAAUUUAAAAAUGGAACAAAUGGAAAAUAGGAAGAAUCUGAAUUGGGUUCUCCCUUCCUAGAACAUAAUGAUUGAUAACUCAGCCUUUUGGCCACCAUGGUUUAGCUGAGCUUCCUGCAUUGCAGAGGUUGGACUAGAUGACCCUUGGGGUCCCUUCCAACUCUACAUGUCUAUGAUUCUAUGCUAUAUGGACAAACCACUGCCAGAAGACCAUUUCCUGCAGUUCCAACAACAGAGAACAAAUUAGGGAACAGAAAGUUCCCCUUGACUUACGUAUCACAGCGUAAAAAAACCAAAAAAAGAAUAUAAAUUCAUGGAUGAACAUUUUGUAUCCUUAAUUCAAUCUCCUAUACUUGGUUUUACUUUUCUUUUUUAACAUUUGCAUUGCUUUGAGACACUUUUGUGGGGAAAGCGACAAAUAAACAGAGUAAGUGAUAGUGAAGAGUUUUUCUGUGACUGCACAGGAAACUCCAGCAUUACAUUCCACUUCUCCCUCCCCUCAAAUUCAAUGCACAGAAACCAUCGCAGAGAUUCCUGUGGUGAGGGAUCCUGGCAAGCCCCCUCUGUGGAUGCUAAUGGUUUCCUAGCAAGUUCAGAAGUGGCUCAUCUUUCACACCUUCACUGCGGACAAAUUCUCAGCUCUUCCAGGAGAUACUCAUCUGACAUGAAAUAAUAUCCCACGUGAAGCUGUUUUCUAGCGAGAAACAGUCCUGAUUUCUCCCUGCCUCCCUUUAUUAUUGCUUCUUAUCUUUUUGCAUUUUUAUUCCUAUAACGCGGGAAGUGCAUUUAAGAAGGGCACCAGGCCCCUGGAAAGGAAAAAAAAACACACCAUGCAAACACAUAGGCCACAAAAUCAUCAAGAAGCAAAACUAUUGUAAGGAGACCAACAACUCAGACAGGUGAGAGAGCAAAAGAGAGAAAGGGCAUGAGGAAGAGGCAAAAGGCCAAAUAAGUUCAAUAAUUCUUCCAAAUAAAAUUGUACUGGACUGGAAUGAGGCGAUUCAUCAUGUGACUGUUCAUGCAAGUCAAAAAAAGGUCUCCCGUGUGACCACAAUUUUUUGUGUUGCAGCAGAGACCUUGUUGACUUUCCGUUUGCAGUUAGCUUCUCCAAGGAAACUACAGUGGUACCUCGGGUUACAGAUGCUUCAGGUUACAGACACUUCAGGUUACAGACUCCACUAACCCAGAAAUAGUAUCUCAGGUUAAGAACUUUGCUUCAGGAUGAGAACAGAAAUCGUGCGGCAGCAGUGGGAGGCCCCAUUAGCUAAAGUGGUACCUCAGGUUGAGAACAGUUUCAGGUUAAGAACGGACCUCCAGAACGAAUUAAGUUCUUAACCUGAGGUGUUGUUGUUUAGUCAUUUAGUCGUGUCCGACACUUCGUGACCCCAUGGACCAGAGCACGCCAGGCACUCCUGUCUUCCACUGCCUCCCGCAAUUUCAUCAAAUUCAUGUUGGUAGCUUCUAAAACACUGUCCAACCAUCUUGUCCUCUGUCAUCCCCUUCUCCUUGUACCCAACAUCAGAGCUUUUCCCAGAGAGUCUCCUCUUCUCAUGAGGUGGCCAAAGUAUAACACACACACAAUGCAUCUAAAUUGUUUUUUUUUUUUUACCAGUCUAGCUGAGUCCCAGGAGGAUUAUAAUUGAAGGUCUGAGCAACAAAUGAUGUUGCAGUAUGAGUCAAUCAAGACGUGUUCUCAAGGUCCAGAGGAGGCAACUGCAACAAGCUAGACUUACUGCAAUUAUCACCUGCCCUAAUGUCCCUCCUGCCUUCUGUGAGUCUGUCACAUUUCCUCCACCUGAAACAUGAAGGUAUGUGCUGUUUUUAAAAUGUUUUCAGUCACCCUUAAAGGUUUUUAGGUGCUCCUAAUUUUAGAUGCUCUUAAUAUUUUUUUUUAAAAGUUUUAAAUAUGUGUAUAAAAGGACCCCUGACCAUUAGGUCCAGUUGUGACUGACUCUGGGGUUACGGCGCUCAUCUCGCUUUAUUAGCCAAGGAAGCCAGUGUACAGCUUCCGGGUCAUGUGGCCAGCAUGACUAAGCCACUUCUGGCGAACCAGAGCAGCACACAGAAACGCUGUUUACCUUCCUGCAGGAGCCUACCUAUUUAUCUACUUGCACCUUGACGUGCUUUCGAACUGCUAGGUUGGCAGGAGCAGGGACUGAGCAACGGGAGCUCACCCCGUCUCGGGGAUUCGAACCGCCGAGCUUCUGAUCGGCAAGUCCUAGGCUCUGUGGUUUAACCCACAGCGCCACCCGUGUCCCAUCAAAUAUGUGUAUAUGUCUAAGUAAUUACCAGCCAGUUGCCAAUCUCCUCUUCUUGGGGAAGGUUCUUGAGCAGAUGGCUGUGGCACUCUUGGAGGAAAUUGUUUUGGUCACACUGUAGGAUGACCUCUGUUGGGAGAGAGAGAAAGGAAACGGCUCCUUGUUGAUUCUCCUUGUCCUCUCAGCAGCUUUUCAUACUAUGAGUCAUGGUAUCCUUCUGGAGUAUCUGCCAAAGUUGAGGAGAGGUGGCACCACUUUGUGGUGGUUCCAGUCCUACUAGGAUGGAUGUUUCCAGAGGGUGAUGCUUGGGGAUUGUUCUUCAGCCCUGUGGAGCCUUCAAUGUGGGGUUCCUCAGGGUCUAAUGUUACUGAACAUGCUGUUUAACUUAUUGUUAUGAUUAAUAGUAGUAGUAUACCACCCUCCAUCUGUAGAUCUCAGGGUGGUUCACAACAUAAAAUUAUAAUAUAAAAAACACAAAAUACGUAAUAAAAAUAAGAACGAAAACAAACCAGUAAUGUCCCCCUCCAACAACACAUUUAAAAGGGCAUCUGAUGUUACUCAGCCAACAGCCUGGUUGAAGAGGAACAUUUUUGCCUUGUGCCUAAAAGUGCAUAAUAUAGGCACCAGCCGAAUCUCCUUGGGGAGAGCAUUCCACAAAUAGGGAGUCACUGCAGAAAAGGCCCAUUCUCAUGUUGUGUCCCUCUGGACCUCUUGUGGAGGGGACACGUGAAAAAAGGGC
rnacentral:lncRNA from 1 species